UCGUUCAUUAAUUCCGGGGAUUUUGGGGGAAAAUGCCGGAAUUUGGAGAGCCCCGAACAGCGCACGGACAAUGACGCGGAUCGUUAAUUAAUUAUGGAUGGCGAUCGUUAAUUAAUUCCCGGGAUUUUGGGGUUUUUUUAGGUGUUUCUGAAACAAAUCCUUUAUUUUCCGUGGAUUUGGGUUUUUGGGUGUUUCUGAAACAAAUCCUUUAUUUUCCGUGGAUUCUGGGGUUUUUAGGUGUUUCUGAAACAAAUCCUUUAUUUUCCGUGGAUUCUG
rnacentral:lncRNA from 1 species